rnacentral:rRNA from 1 species
UUGAACGCUGGCGGCAUGCCUUACACAUGCAAGUCGAACGGCAGCACGGGAGCAAUCCUGGUGGCGAGUGGCGAACGGGUGAGUAAUAUAUCGGAACGUGCCCAGUCGUGGGGGAUAACGUAGCGAAAGCUAUGCUAAUACCGCAUACGAUCUAUGGAUGAAAGCGGGGGAUCGCAAGACCUCGCGCGAUUGGAGCGGCCGAUAUCAGAUUAGGUAGUUGGUGAGGUAAAGGCUCACCAAGCCGACGAUCUGUAGCUGGUCUGAGAGGACGACCAGCCACACUGGGACUGAGACACGGCCCAGACUCCUACGGGAGGCAGCAGUGGGGAAUUUUGGACAAUGGGCGCAAGCCUGAUCCAGCAAUGCCGCGUGCAGGAUGAAGGCCUUCGGGUUGUAAACUGCUUUUGUACGGAACGAAACGGUGAGCUCUAAUACAGUUUGCUAAUGACGGUACCGUAAGAAUAAGCACCGGCUAACUACGUG